AAAAAAUAGGUGCGUAUUUUUUUUUUCUACAAAAUUGUAAAAUACUCAGGCUAUUUAACAUUUUCCCAUAAAUGUGCUGAGAUGGAGAGACAAAUUCAUACACAGAAAUAUUUUUCCAGGUUCCUUAUAGGAAUAAAGAGUAAUGGUUUUCUUUCAUCCCCACGUUCUUAUGUGUAGCUCUAAGACAUAGCGGUUACAGUUUUUUGGGUUUUUUUUGGUUAUAAAUCUGAAAAAAGGACAUGCCAAGAGAAAAAUUCUACCAUGUUGCAAUAAAACUGGCACCAAGCUCUGCUUCAUCUUUGAGCUUUCAGAUUUGGCAGCUGUGGUCAUUUGCAACUCAGCCUAAUUAAAAAGAAGGCAUCCUCUUUACCUUGUCCUUUAGGAAACAUAAACCAGUGGUCAGUAUCCCUAAAAAGGCGCAAUUGCCUCCUUUGUCAUCUGAUUGUAAGGCCCGCAAAGCGGUUUCUCACCAUCACAGCUCAGAUGAAACCACACAAGGAAAAGAAAGGAAGUCCCUGGGAGGUUGGACUCAGUUUGACACCAGGAGCAUAGGAAGCUGCACACUUGGUAACAUUCAAUCAAAACGUAUAUUCCUUUGAGCUUUUUAGUGAGCCCUGCAAGAGAAAAGGCGCUAGUGUUGAUUUAGAUGUGUGCUAAAAUAAUAACACUUUUCCCCCUGAAUCGAGAUGGUGGGGUAAACCAAGCCAGAUUAGCUCUGCAGGUGACAUAAGCUGUAAUUAUUUGUGGGGAUCUCAGUCACUCUUUUGGAAUGGAUACCUAAGGGUUUCUUCUCCCCCAUUCUUUUUUUUGGGAAGGGAGACGGACUUUUUAAUGAGAUAUUUUUAAUGGAUAUGGUUUAGGUAGAAAUAUUAGCUUUUAAAAGAUAAAGGUACAAUUAUCUUUAGAAUAGGAAGCCCAUU